rnacentral:rRNA from 1 species
GACGAACGCUGGCGGCGUGCUUAACACAUGCAAGUCGAACGGAAAGGCCCUGCUGUUGUGGGGUGCUAGAGUGGCGAACGGGUGAGUAACACGUGAGUAACCUGCCCUUGACUUUGGGAUAACUUCAGGAAACUGGGGCUAAUACCGGAUAGGAGCUCCUGCUGCAUGGGGGGGGGGGGAAAGUUUCGGCGGUUGGGGAUGGACUCGCGGCUUAUCAGCUUGUUGGUGGGGUAGUGGAUUACCAAGGCUUUGACGGGUAGCCGGCCUGAGAGGGUGACCGGCCACAUUGGGACUGAGAUACGGCCCAGACUCCUACGGGAGGCAGCAGUGGGGAAUAUUGCACAAUGGGCGGAAGCCUGAUGCAGCAACGCCGCGUGCGGGAUGACGGCCUUCGGGUUGUAAACCGCUUUCGCCUGUGACGAAGCGUGAGUGACGGUAAUGGGUAAAGAAGCACCGGCUAACUACGUG